rnacentral:rRNA from 1 species
ACGAACCGGACAAACGUUAUUCGGAAUCACUGGGCUUAAAGAGUACGUAGGCGGCCUUGUAGGUUGGGUGUGAAAUCCCACGGCUCAACCGUGGAACUGCGCUCAAAACCACAAGGCUUGAGGGAGACAGGGGUAAGCGGAACUGAUGGUGGAGCGGUGAAAUGCGUUGAUAUCAUCAGGAACACCGGUGGCGAAGGCGGCUUACUGGGUCUCUUCUGACGCUGAGGUACGAAAGCUAGGGUAGCGAACGGG